UACAGAGGGUGCGAGCGUUAAUCGGAGUUACUGGGCGUGAAGGGCGCGUAGGCGGUUUAAUAAGAUUGAUGUGAAAUCCCUGGGCUUAACCUAGGAACUGCAUCGAUGACUGUUAAGCUGGAGUAUUGUAGAGGGUAGUGGAAUUUCCGGUGUAGCGGUGAAAUGCGUAGAGAUCGGAAGGAGCACCAGUGGCGAAGGCGGCUACCUGGACAAAUACUGACGCUGAGGCGCGAGAGCGUGGGGAGCAAACAGG
rnacentral:rRNA from 1 species